GUGUAAUUGGGCAGCAACACAGCUAAUAAACCAAAGGAUAGAAAAGUCAUUUCAGCCUGCCAGUUAAACACGGUACGGCACUGACUUUGUAUACCUAGGGUGCUAAUGUGAUCCUAAGGAAUCAGAAAAGUGGGACCCCUCUGUUUUGUAUAGGUUCCAAGAGAAAGACAAGUUAUUUAAGAAUACUGUCAAACCUUCCAUGAAAAUACACCCUUAAGAAGAUUGAAGAAGAGGCCCUGCGGCCAGAAGGGGCAAAUCAACAAGAGUGGAGUUAGAGAAAGAUGCUGGAAGGCAAGAGUCAGAUGACAGGACUGAGCAGCACAGGGGAAAGUCCUGCUAAGUUUUAGACAACAAUCUUGGUCAAGUUACAUUUGAAUUGCUGAUGAGCUGCCACAUAGAAGAUGCCGCAGAGAUAACCGACAGUUAAGAUUCCACAGGAUGAAGAGAUCUGGGGUGGACAGUCGGAUGGGGGACCUACAAACAGAGGGCAGAUGAUAGAAUUUGAGUACAGGUGAUCAAUAAAAAAAGUGGGUAGUAGACCACAGUAGAAUCUGUUUUUUAAAAAAAUUAACACGAGCAAGAAAGCAAAGGCUUCAAGGCUAUGUCUACACUAAACUCACAAGUGACGUUGAACAGCCCAGAACAUCUUUUAGUGUUCACCGCCAUCCUGAAACCUGGAGCUCCCCAAGAAGUUUUUGAAACGGAUGCGCCAUCUGCAUUCCAGACCUGUGUAGUGCCCUGUCCCUCGAAACAACUUACGAGUGAGGUUAAGAUGAUGAAAUAAGGGCUUCCCUGGUGGCGCUGUGGUUAAGAAUCUGCCUGCCAAUGCAGGGGACACGGGUUCGAGCCCUGGUCCAGGAAGAUCCCACGUGCCAUGGAGCAACUAAGCCCGUGUGCCACAACUACUGAGCCUGUGCUCUAGAGCCUGUGAACCACAACUACUGAGCCCACGUGCCAUGACUGCUGAAGCCCGUGCCUAGGGCCCGUGCUCCGCAACAUGAGAAGCCACCGCAAUGAGAAGCCCGCACACCGCAAUGAAGAGUAGCCCCCGCUCGCUGCAACUAGAGAAAGCCCGCAGGCAGCAACUAAGACCCAACGCAGACAAAAAUUUAAAAAAUAAAUAAAAUAAAAAUAAAUUUAAAAAAAUGAUGAUGAAAUAAAAUAUGUAUGAGAGAAGUAUAUAUGCUGGAUUAAUCUGGGCUGAAUUCAUUAUACUCUAGGGAAUUAAUGUAUUAUUGAGAUGGAAACUUCCUGGUCUCCUUGUUGAACUGAUGCCCCACAUUGACUCAGUUAAAUGGUCGACUGAAUGUAAACGUUUGCCUGUCUUUAUGAUGAUGAUGAUUUUAUUUCAAAGCAGUCUUCCGUGUGUGCUGAAAUGCCCUUGGAAUCAGAUUCGUCUUCUCUUGCUCUCAGAGUAAAGUGAGGUGGGAGGAGAAUCUGAUACCACAAGAGGGUAUCUAGUCUCAAGAUGCAGCGCCCCACGCUGAGGUGCAGCAUCUCCAGGCGACUGUGACCGGCUCGGGAACUGUGUGAAUGUCUGUUGUUCAAAGCAACCAGAUUUCAGUGAUUAGAAGGGAAAGCAUGAGCAUUUUAAUAUUUCCAUUCUCUAGAGAUUUGCUUUAUUAGGAAAGCAAGCUCUCCCCUUUCUGUAACAUGCUGUAUCCAGUCUUAUUGUUGAAGAGGACUUUAUCUUGAAGGCGAGAAAGUAAACAAGAUUCU
rnacentral:lncRNA from 1 species